rnacentral:rRNA from 1 species
GACGAACGCUGGCGGCGUGCUUAACACAUGCAAGUCGAACGGAAAGGCCCUGCUUUUGUGGGGUGCUCGAGUGGCGAACGGGUGAGUAACACGUGAGUAACCUGCCCUUGACUUUGGGAUAACUUCAGGAAACUGGGGCUAAUACCGGAUAGGAGCUCCUGCUGCAUGGUGGGGGUUGGAAAGUUUCGGCGGUUGGGGAUGGACUCGCGGCUUAUCAGCUUGUUGGUGGGGUAGUGGCUUACCAAGGCUUUGACGGGUAGCCGGCCUGAGAGGGUGACCGGCCACAUUGGGACUGAGAUACGGCCCAGACUCCUACGGGAGGCAGCAGUGGGGAAUAUUGCACAAUGGGCGGAAGCCUGAUGCAGCAACGCCGCGUGCGGGAUGACGGCCUUCGGGUUGUAAACCGCUUUCGCCUGUGACGAAGCGUGAGAGACGGCAAUGGGUAAAGAAGCACCGGCUAACUACGUG